rnacentral:rRNA from 1 species
UACAGAGACUGCAAGCGUUAUUCGGAUUCACUGGGCGUAAAGGGUGCGCAGGUGGCCAAGUGUGUUAGGCGUGAAAGCCCGGGGCUUAACCCCGGAAUUGCACCUAAAACUACAUGGCUAGAGCAUUGGAGAGGGGAGCAGAAUUCACGGUGUAGCAGUGAAAUGCGUAGAUAUCGUGAGGAAUACCAGAGGCGAAGGCGGCUACCUGGACAAUUGCUGACGCUCAGGCACGAAAGCGUGGGGAGCAAAAGGG